rnacentral:lncRNA from 1 species
GUGAGGUCACUACCUUUCUCAUGGAACAUUCCCUGGUUGCUAUGACAAUGGGGCCCAAACAAACCACAUUCUCAGCCAGGUGAGGCUGGCCACACUUGGUACUGCACUCUCCAAAGAGGACAUUGGGCGGGGAAGAAGUUCUGGAGACUCGAAGGAUUGGGGCCCAGCCGGCCAUUGAAGCUACUGCCAGAACAGGAGCCAGGAGCCACACGUGAGUCUUUGAUGGGAUAUGGUUGUGGGAACAAUUACACAGGAGAGAUGCUGGGAGGAAUCCAGAAGACAAGAGGGGAGCCUACCAGGCCAGGCAGAAGACAGAGAACCUGAGGCUGUGGGGAGAGAGGGCAGUGUCCUUGUUAGCCCUGAAUGAAGGAUGGGCAGAUGACUCAGGGAGGACCAUUCUCCUGUGAGGUGCCCAACUUGCUGUGGCUUCUAUAGCCCCAACUCCACCCCAGGUCUUCACACCUCUUGCACUGUCUCAAGGUGGGCCAUUUUUGAGGAAUACAGGAAGUGCAUCUUGGCUGGUGCAAGGAGAAUCCCCUGAGGAGACCAGGGAGAUCAGAAGGAGCAAAUGGGUGGAAGCCAGAUUUUGAAAGGCCUGAAAGAGUUUGGACUUUCUCCACAACCUGGG